AUACGUAGGGGGCGAGCGUUGUCCGGAAUGAUUGGGCGUAAAGGGCGCGUAGGCGGCGCGAUAAGUCUGGAGUGAAAGUCCUGCUUUCAAGGUGGGAAUUGCUUUGGAUACUGCCGCGCUUGAGUGCAGGAGAGGUUAUCGGAAUUCCCGGUGUAGCGGUGAAAUGCGUAGAGAUCGGGAGGAACACCAGUGGCGAAGGCGGAUAACUGGACUGCAACUGACGCUGAGGCGCGAAAGUGUGGGGAGCAAACAGGAUUAGAUACCCUGGUAGUCCACACUGUAAACGAUGAAUGCUAGGUGUAAGAGGUAUCGACCCCUUUUGUGCCGGAGUCAACACAAUAAGCAUUCCGCCUGGGGAGUACGGCCGCAAGGUUGAAACUCAAAGGAAUUGACGGGG
rnacentral:rRNA from 1 species